UUCAUUCAAAUACGCCCAGUAUUCCCCGGUGUAAUUUGUAAGUCUAUAUUUGUUUGUUACUCUUUGGCCUCGCCAUCCGGUAGACUUUCCUUCCUACGUUAUUCUAGUUUCUUGCACCCACUCUCUCUACACUUGUAGUUCAACCCCUGACUUCGACCGCUUUAAACCCGUCGCUCGCUUCAUCACAUAGUCUUAGCCUUGACUGUGUGAAGUCGGAAUGGGUAGUCAUUGUGGAUCAGCAUGUCACGGUGAAUACGUUCCCGGGUCCAGUACACACGCAAGGGCAAUUCUGCAGAUAUCGAUCACACUGGUGGUAGCUCGAGCAGAUAUAGCCUCCCAUCAGAUGUCCCCCCCUAUCCCC
rnacentral:rRNA from 1 species